AAUUGGAUAAGUUUCAAUUGGAGGUCACGGAGCUAUCAUUAUGAUUAAUAUAAGAUAGCGAGGAUGCAUUUUCACAGUAACCACUGUUCAGCGAUAUUACAUGGUCAGGCGAUUGGUGCGGAACAUGCUAGUUUACGCAACCAUGCAUCAUUGAUCAACGGUGAAAGAAACUAAAGGCAAAAGAAGGCGCACUUCACGGUUGAACAAAAUCGUGUUGGUCGGAAAGUUAAAAAAUAUCACAAGUCUGCUUUCAAACCACAACUAGCCAAGAGCAGUUUCUACAUUAUGCAACCCGUCUGGCAAGAGACAAUGGGAGAAAACAAAACUAACUGUGACUCUCAUGUCACACGAAAGGAUAAAUUAUAAUCAAGACCGCCUCAAGUUCCCACAGAACUUCACGGAAAUGGCUCAAACAUAAUGCGUUUACAAAAUUUAGUUUUGCUUUUUUCUCUUGCACUCAAAUAAAAAGAAUUAAUGUGGAUUUAUUA